AAAACCUCCAGUGGUUAAUGGUGGCCAGCCUGGCAGGGCCCUGACUCAGCAGCAGGGUCCAUCGGACCGGUGGGAUGCAGACGUGGAAUAUCCAGGUCAGAACCAGCACGACAGAGGGACACCCAAGGCGAGCCAGGGAAGUGAGAUGAUAAGCUUUCAGGGAAGGUCACUGUUGAUUUUACUCUUGAUGCCUUCUAUGCAAUGGCUGGCUUGAAAAACAGUAGCUGUGUUUAUCCGAAUUCAAUUUUAACACGCAGUACUUUGAAGAUGAGGUUAUUUCGAUAUUCCUGAAAUCGUGGGAUGAUUCAAAGAAAGAAGCCUAUAAACGGUGGUUGCUUGAGUGAGUGAACACUGCCAUACAUGGUGAGGGUCAGAGGAAAAGCAAGGAGAAAACUGUGAGAUUUGAUCAACAAAUGUGGAAUUGCGGAAAAGAAAACAUACUUUCAGAAAAGACAAAAACAAACCCCACCAUCAAGUGACUUUUUGGUCCAUCCUCCUUGUGGUGAUUUUGGGGACCAGUCCAGCUGCCUGUUUAAAAUAGUUCUGCAGGGGGUGCACCGGUUGAUGGGGACAAGGCCUCGAGUGGGCAGGAGAGUGAAGAUCUUGCUGCACCAGGUUAACCAUCAUAAUUUUUCUCAAGAUCUUCGCUAAGAAGGCUCAUCUCUACUCUUCAUUUUGAAUUAUAGAGGAAGAAACUCUCUACCUUGGUGAAAUUCUUGUGAUUUUCACUCAUUCCUACCCAGUUAACGUUGUUGACUGCAUUCAAUAUAUUCUCGAAAUAUGUACAAUAAAUU
rnacentral:lncRNA from 1 species